AUGGGAAAUGUAGUCCGCAGUCAGAAAAGUAGAGGACCGGCCAAUACCGACAGAUUCUGUCCGGUAUUGAGCCGGGGCUUGACGGAGCCCAGGAGACCUCUGGGAGUGUUAAACCAGCCAAGGAGUGCGCAGGCGCAGACUUUCUGGCUCGCCAUGGUCGUCUUUGUCUGCCGACCAGCUUCCUUGUGCAUCCCCAGGAACUGCACUUCCUUUACCCAUCAAAUCCCUUAAGGAUCCUUUGGUCUCAGCGUGAAUUAUGGGAUUCUGCUUUGACCCUCAAGAGUAAUGUCCAAGUCCUGUGUCACUGUUUAGAAGUUUGAAGACACCAGUUUAAACAAGAAGAGCAAUGAAUAACUGAGGAAGAAAUGUAAAGGAGGUGCUUUCCAGGUGAGUAAGAAGGAACCCAGAAGGAUGAAUGGGAUAAAGAUUCAUUGUUAUUUUUUUAUGAUAUAUCUUUUUUUUUUUAAUGUUUGUUUUUGAAAGAGAGAGUGUGCACAUGGGGAGGGCAGAGAGAGGGAGACAGAGGAUCCAGAGCAGUUCCACACGGACAGCAGAGAGCCUGAUGUGAGGCUUGAACUCAAACCAGAGAUCAUGACCUAAGCCAAGGUCAGAUGCUUAACCACCCAGGCGCCCCUCUUAUAGUUACUCAACCUGCGACCUCUGAAAAAACUUUUGAGGCAAGUUUUUUUAUAAGCCUAUUGGAGUAACAGUUGCUGGGAAUUCUUUAGAUACCUAAAUAACAUUUCCAGAUUCUCUUGCUUGAUCAUGCUCUUUUUUUUUCUCAGAUUUUGGGGGACUGCUUGCCCCUGUAACCUCUAUUCUGGAUGCUAGCCUCUUUACUUCAUUUGUAGUCUCAAUUUUAUAAAUUUUCUAGCCUAAAUAUUGUGUUUUCCCUUUCACUAACAUUUUAUUUCUCCCCACUUCCAUCUGAGAGUUGAAUAUUACCCCUUAUCAUUAUUUCUUAUUCCCUUCCUACCUACUAUCAUAGCACAACAUUUCUCACUCUCUUGCUUUUUAACAAUAUAGCAGGCUGGAAAUUAGUGCUGACUUCCUACUAGUUCACACUCUGUUACUCUUUAAAAAUAAUACUAUCAUCUUUAAAAUCCAAUACAUAUACUUAAUAGGAAAUUAAGGGGCGCCAGGGUGGUUCAGUCGGUUAAGCAUCCGACUCUUGGUUUCAGCUCAGGUCAUGAUCUCGCAGUUUGUGAGUUCGAGCCCUACAUCAGGCUCUGCACUGACAGCUCGAAGCCUGCUUAGGAUUCUUUCUCUCUCUCUCUCUCUCUGUCUGCCCCUCCCCCACUUGCUCAAUCAGUUUCUUUCAAAAAUGAACAACAACAAAAAAGUUUUUUAAGAAAAUUAAAGAAUGGUUCCUCAAUCCUGGCCCUCAGUUCUCCAUUUCUGUUCCCCAGAAGCAGCCACUAUUAAAUGUGCUUUCUUCUAAAUGUUUUUAUGAGUAUACAAGGAGGCUUUAACAAUGACAUGAUUUGACUAUGACAAGAAUACUGUUGUUGCUGUGUUGAGAGAAGAUAUAUAAAGAGGCAAAGGCAAAAGUAGCAAGAAUAGUGAGGAGUCUAUUAAAUAAUACAGGGAAGACAUAAUGUGGCUUAGACUUUGGUGGUCCUAGUGAGAAUUAUGAGAAAUGGCCAGAUGCUGACUGUAUUUUGAAGAUAAAGCCAAGAGGAUGUGGAAACAUAAUGGGUGUGUUACCUAGGAGAGAGUUGUUCAAGGGUUGAGCUCAAGACUUGAACAACUGAGAAAAUAAGGUUGUUAUUUAACGAGAUGAGAAGAAUUUGGGAGUUGGUUUGGGAGAACAAGGGUUUGAUUUGGGGCAGGGUAAAUUAGAUCCGUAUUAGACAUCUAAGUGCAGAUUUUGAGUAGCAAGUGGUUAUGUGAAUCAGUUGAGGAAAGAGGUCCAGUCUAGUGAUUAAAUAUUUUCAAAAUAUAUAUCAGAAUGCUCAAAUGUCAACCAAACUCUUAAAUGUAUUCUGUGAAAAUGGUGACGUGUUAGAGCAGGAGUUGGCAAACUACAUCCUACUAUGUAUUUUUGUAAGGAGUUUUACUGAAACAUGGCCAUGUUCAGUGCAUCUCGUCCAUUCAUUUUCUUAUUGUCUGUUACUACUUUCAUGCUACGGUGUCCAAGUUGAGUAGGUAUCUACAGAUACAUGAUAUUGUAAAGCAUUAGACAGGACUAAAAAGUAUAUCAAUCAUGGUAAAGCUAAGUGACUAUAAUAAACCCCAAAAUGUACUGGUUUAAGGAAUAUAAGAAUUGAUUUCCUGGUCACAUAACAGUUAUGUGGUGAGUAAUGAAGAUUUGCAUGGUAGCUUUGGUCUUUGUGAUCCUUUAAAUGAUCCAGAUUUCCUCCAGGUUCUGUUGAUCAUUUAGUUGUGGUUGAAACGGGUCAACAGUGCAUCCUAGUUCCACCCAAGUAGAGAAGGGAGAAAUGAUCACUGUAGGGCAAGAGGCCAGUAAACUUUCUGUAAAUGUCCAGAUAGUAAAUACUUCAGGUUUUGUAGGUCCUAGGAUCUCUGCUGCAACUACUCAAGUCAGGCAUUAUAGCACAAAAAUAGUUUCCUUAGGAUUAGAGUAUUUUGACUUCUAUUUUGAAAAUAUUUAGGUGGGGGGGCACCUGGGUGGCUGAGUCUGAUAAGCAAGCAGCUUAGUUUCGAAACUAAGCUGACUCUUAGUUUCGAGUCAGGUCAUGAUCUCGUAGUUUGUGAGUUUGAACCCUGCAUCAGGCUCUGUGCUGCCCAUGCGGAACCUGCUUGGGAUUCUCUCUCUCUACUGUCUCUCUGCCCCUCCCCCACUUCCGCUAUCUCUGUCUCCCUCAAAAUAAAUAAAUAAACUUUAAAAAAAUAUAUAAGAUGUGUUAAUUACCAAGAUGUCAUUUCUGUGUUUUCUUUAGUUAGGAAUAUAGUGGGCUAAGUCCUGAUCUGUUCUACAUCAUACUUUUGCAAAUAUAAUGAAUUUAAGAAUUGGAAAAUUUUAAAUAAAUGUUAUUACUGUCAUUUGUAAAAGUUUAGUAAAUUCCACAUCUUGAACCAUCUACUGGGGUAAUAAAAUAACAAGGGUCUCUUUUUUUCUAUAUCUACUUUACUGUUUAGGUUUCUUGUCUUUUCUGGUCUCAGUUUUCAUAGGUAAUAUUUGGUUUUCAAAUUUGUUUGUAUGGAGGUGAGCGAAUAAUCU
ensembl:lncRNA